UACGUAGGGUGCGAGCGUUAAUCGGAAUUACUGGGCGUAAAGCGUGCGCAGGCGGUGGUUUAAGGCAGGUGUGAAAUCCCCGGGCUUAACCUGGGAACUGCAUUUGUGACUGCAUCGCUGGAGUGCGGCAGAGGGGGAUGGAAUUCCGCGUGUAGCAGUGAAAUGCGUAGAUAUGCGGAGGAACACCGAUGGCGAAGGCAAUCCCCUGGGCCUGCACUGACGCUCAUGCACGAAAGCGUGGGGAGCAAACAGG
rnacentral:rRNA from 1 species